rnacentral:rRNA from 1 species
GGUGGGGUAAAGCUCACCAAGGCGACGAUCCGUAGCUGGUCUGAGAGGAUGAUCAGCCACACUGGGACUGAGACACGGCCCAGACUCCUACGGGAGGCAGCAGUGGGGAAUUUUGGACAAUGGGGGCAACCCUGAUCCAGCCAUGCCGCGUGAGUGAAGAAGGCCUUCGGGUUGUAAAGCUCUUUCGGACGGAAAGAAAUCGCGCGGGUGAAUAAUCCGCGUGGAUGACGGUACCGUAAGAAGAAGCACCGGCUAACUACGUGCCAGCAGCCGCGGUAAUACGUAGGGUGCGAGCGUUAAUCGAAAUUACUGGGCGUAAAGCGUGCGUAGGCGGCGCUGUAAGACAGGUGUGAAAUCCCCGGGCUUAACCUGGGAAUUGCGCUUGUGACUACAGUGCUCGAGUGCGGCAGAGGGGGGUGGAAUUCCACGUGUAGCAGUGAAAUGCGUAGAGAUGUGGAGGAACACCGAUGGCGAAGGCAGCCCCCUGGGUCGACACUGACGCUCAGGCACGAAAGCGUGGGGAGCAAACAGGAUUAGAUACCCUGGUAGUCCACGCCCUAAACGAUGCCAACUAGUUGUUGGGGAAGGAGACUUCCUUAGUAACGAAGCUAACGCGUGAAGUUGGCCGCCUGGGGAGUACGGUCGCAAGAUUAAAACUCAAAGGAAUUGACGGGGACCCGCACAAGCGGUGGAUGAUGUGGAUUAAUUCGAUGCAACGCGAAAAACCUUACCUACCCUUGACAUGCCAGGAACUCUGCUGAGAAGUGGAGGUGCCCGAAAGGGAGCCUGGACACAGGUGCUGCAUGGCUGUCGUCAGCUCGUGUCGUGAGAUAUUGGGUUAAGUCCCGCAACGAGCGCAACCCUUGUCGUUAAUUGCCAUCAUUCAGUUGGGCACUUUAACGAGACUGCCGGUGACAAACCGGAGGAAGGUGGGGAUGACGUCAAGUCCUCAUGGCCCUUAUGGGUAGGGCUUCACACGUCAUACAAUGGUCGGUACAGAGGGUUGCCAAGCCGCGAGGUGGAGCGAAUCUCACAAAGCCGAUCGUAGUCCGGAUCGCAGUCUGCAACUCGACUGCGUGAAGUCGGAAUCGCUAGUAAUCGCGAAUCAGCAUGUCGCGGUGAAUACGUUCCCGGGUCUUGUACACACCGCCCGUCACACCAUGGGAGUGGGUUUCACCAGAAGCAGGUUGCCUAACCGCAAGGAGGGCGCUUACCACGGUGAGAUUCAUGACUGGGGUGAAGUCGUAACAAGGUA